GUUUUAGUAAUUUAAAAAAAAAUAUUGGUCUUGUAAAUCAAAAUUAAGAGUAUCUUCUAAAACU
rnacentral:tRNA from 1 species